rnacentral:lncRNA from 1 species
AUGGCUGCCAUCGGAGCAGAGGUCACCAGCUCAUUCUUCCUGCCGCCGGGAGUCGUCAGCGUCUUCAUCCUCCUCCUCCUCCUCUCCAUCUUCCUCACGUCUCUCUGCAGCGACUGUGGCAGGUUGGUGGUUCUAUUCUCAUGGAUGCAUGUUUCACUGGCGCCUCUCAGCAUCUCUGUUUACGUUGCUCACGUUGCUUCAACGACCAACAAAACGUUGACGUCUGUGCUUCGCUGUUUUUCCAGACGUUCGUUUGAGUUGCAAGAAUCAAGUGUAGACAAACAUCCCUCAUCCCUCAUCAAAGUGGUGAAGCUGGAGGACGCCAUGACGGCCCGAGAGAAUCCCAUGAUCCACGAGAUCCAGAGCGACGAAAAAGAGAAUCACCUGAAGGAGGGAACCCGAGUCCAGGCCGCUGCACCGAGCAGCCACAUGGUGGCGCCACCGCUCAACCAAGCGGUACGAGCUGAGGAGGAAGCCUCGGCCCAGUUCACCCCGUGGAGGAGCCACCUGACGGGAGCUCACAGCCGAGAUCACAUCUACCACACCAUUGGAGAGGAGCAGGCUGCGCCAUCACCUGCGGCCAAUCAGGAGCCUCGUUCCGAAGCAGCAGCGGAGGGUCUGGGCGGCAGCAAUGUGAACUCAGUUUACGCACAAGUCAGCAAGAAGGCGACAAAGACCCCGACCGCCGCCACCGUCCAUCCACCUGAACAGGUGCAGGAGGAGGAGGAGUCACCACCGCUGCCUGGCAGGACCGCGGACGUGGAGGCAUGA